ACGUGGCUCUGUUGCUAAUGCUGCUGAUCCCACAUAAGCAGGCCAUUGUGUCCGGUCUUAUCCUAGGAGUAGGGGUUCUUUUCUGCCUUCUAAUUUUAAUACAGAACUGCUACCACUGGAGGCUGGAGAAGAGCAGGGCUGAGAGUGGUCUCCCCGUCUAUGACAGCUACUUUAGUUUUCCGAAAGGGCUGCACAACAGUCCAAGAAAACAACCUGAGCUAUGUACCUUGGUGUAGAGUACCAGUGUGCUUAACUUUAUAGCCAUGUUGGUCAACAGACAGAGUGCUAUCGCCGUAGACAAAACAAGAGAUGCAGAAGGUCACGAGAAUCUAAUGUUACACCCAAGGGACUUGCCCACGAGCACUGAAUGCGCUGUGGUGAUCACAAGGGACAUCACUCUCAGCGUUAGAAAGUGUUGAGGGGUAACAUUGAUUCCUGCCAAGUCCCAUGCUCCAACAGGACUCAAACCUGCGACGUCCAGCUGGUCAGAGAACCAUUAUCCACAAAGAGGACAUUGCUAUACAUGUCAAAUAAAUAGCAUAGUGUAAUGUUCCUUUGUACUUAUUAGCUAGCCCGUGGACUAUGUACAUAGAUAUUGAACAUGAAAGAUAAUUAGGAUUAGACUGAUUAGUACAUUAUGACCCAGUGUAACAAUUCAUGUGAAAGCUAAUAUUCUUUGUUUAUGAUAGAAACAUGGACAAUGACUCUUGUUGAAUGCAUGACUCUUGGUGGAUGUACUCAUUAAUAGUAAAAUAAGUGUCCACAAGAUAACAUUAUAAAUACUGAAAGGAAUAAUAGAUCUAGUUACUGUUGAUAUUUAAAAAAAUAACACUUUCUUAGGUCUGGUUAUGCUGUUGAACUGAAGGAAUGCUCAAUAAAUAAAUUGCAAAUCC
rnacentral:sRNA from 1 species